GACUAGCGCUGGCGGUGUGUCUUAGACAUGCUAGUCGGGCGGGAUACAUCGCUGUAGCAUUACAGUGGUGUGUUUAGCGGCGAACGGGUGAGCAAUACAAGGGCAACUAUCCCUCAGGAGGGGCACAACCCACCGAAAGGUGGGCUAAUACCCCAUGUUUUGCGGCGGAGGCAUCUCUGCCGUAACAAAGGCGCCGCAAGGUGCCGCCUCUGGACAGGCUCUUGUCCUAUCAGCUUGAUGGCGGGGUAACGGCCCACCAUGGCAACGACGGGUAGCCGGCGUGAGAGCGUGACCGGCCACAGGGGAACUGCGAUACGGUCCCCACUCCUACGGGUGGCAG
rnacentral:rRNA from 1 species